rnacentral:sRNA from 1 species
AUGCAGCGGCCGUGGCAGCGCUUUCGCAGCUCUCGCAGCUUACUGGGAACAUCGAGGCGGCCUAGCGGACUGCUCAACCCCCGACAAGAAUUAGAGCCGGCUAAGACAACUUCAACCCGGACUGGAAUAUUAGAGCGUACAAAUUAGUCCCGAGAAGGGAGAUGUUGGCAUGAUUGCCAUGGUACCUGGGAUUCUUAUCCAACUGGUCUCCUUCGUGGGAUUGUUUGUAUUUUUAGCUGCGGUAGCAGCAGCGCAAGCUUUGCCUGGCUGCCCAAACAAAUGCGGGAAUUUGUCAAUCCCAUACCCUUUUGGGAUAUCCGAUGGCUGCCAGCUCAGUGAUGAAUUCCUCAUCGUUUGCAACGAAACCUCACAACCCCCCACAGCAUUUUUGACAGGAACUGCAAUCCCGGUCUCCAACAUAUCCCUUGACGGCGAGCUACAAAUAAUGCAGUUUGUAGCAAGAGAUUGUUACGUCGAGGGGGUUUAUCA